rnacentral:snRNA from 1 species
AUACUUACCUGGCAGAAGAGAUACUGUGAUCACAAAGGUGUUUUCCCAGGGCAAGCCUUAUCCAUUGCACUCUGGAUGUGCUGACCUCUGUAAUUUCCCCAAAUGCGGGAAAUUCAACUGCAUAAUUUGUGGUAGUGGUGGACUGAGUUCGUCCUUUCCCCUG